rnacentral:rRNA from 1 species
AACGAACGCUGGCGGCACGCCUAACACAUGCAAGUCGUGCGAGAAGCUACCUUCGGGUAGUGGGCAGCGGCGGACGGGUGAGUAACGCGUGGGCACCUGCCUUUUAGUAUGGAACAACAGUUGGAAACGACUGCUAAUACCGUAUACGCCCUUCGGGGGAAAGAUUUAUCGCUAAAAGAUGGGCCCGCGUUAGAUUAGCUAGUUGGUGAGGUAAUGGCUCACCAAGGCGACGAUCUAUAGCUGGUUUGAGAGGAUGAUCAGCCACACUGGGACUGAGACACGGCCCAG